UUAGCUCAGUUGGUAGAGCAACUCGUUUACACCGAGUAGGUCGCAGGUUCGAGCCCUGCA
rnacentral:tRNA from 1 species